UACGUAGGUGGCAAGCGUUGUCCGGAAUUACUGGGUGUAAAGGGCGUGUAGGCGGGAGAGCAAGUCAGAUGUGAAAGCCCAAGGCUCAACUUUGGGACUGCAUCUGAAACUGUUUUUCUUGAGUACUGGAGAGGGAAGCGGAAUUCCUAGUGUAGCGGUGAAAUGCGUAGAUAUUAGGAGGAACACCAGUUGCGAAGGCGGCUCUCUGGACUGUAACUGACACUGAGGCACGAAAGCGUGGGGAGCAAACAGGAUUAGAUACCCUGGUA
rnacentral:rRNA from 1 species